rnacentral:ncRNA from 2 species
UGCUCUCACAUAGAUCUGUGUGCGUGGGGGUGAGCUUAAAAGGGAAUCGAGUGUGAGUCUCGGACAGUCCCGCUGCUGUGAGUACAUCAUACAGCUACCACGAUAUGCUGGGGUAACCCACCACCACUGAGGGUUCUGUGUCCUUGGGAAGGUGAUGCGUCGGUAGACAAGGUGUACAAGUCAGAAGACCUGCAAUGCUUAUCAAAUGCUU